AAUUCAACGGAAUCUCCAUGCAGACUGAAGAACCAAAUAAUUGUGAUGGGGGCUCCCAUGUCAAGAUCAACGGGCAUCAAUUGAUCGAUCGUGCUGCCAAAAGCAAAAACUAUAAAAUGUACUUGAAAACAUUACAAAAUAAACUAAUUUGCUCAGAUGUUUCAAUGUAGUUUUCGGUACUGUGGUGUCUCUAGUAGUUCACCAUGGAUUUCAACGACUGAGGUUGAUCUGUUCGCUUCCCAACCUGCCAACCCUUCUGCAGUUCCUUCUACGUUUGACUUUUUUUUUCCGGUGAUGAACCAGUUGUGCAACCCGAGAUCAAGACUCCAAAUCUGAUCCACCAAACACUAAUGUCAACGACCCAUUUGCUGCAGUUCCGAUGAACAAUUUUGAUGGUUCUGAUCUUUUUGGUGCAUUCACUUGUAGCUCCAAUCCAGCUUCUACAGAAUCAACAGAGAGUCCUGACAGUCUUAACAAUGUGGAUGGGGAGUCUUUGGCAAGCUCCAAUCCUCGACAAAAGGAGGGUUUUCAGAUGAAAUCUGGAAUGUGGGCAGAUUCACUAAGCCGUGGGCUGAUUGAUCUUAAUAUAUCUGCUCGUUAGCGUAUCUUUCCCACUUGCUAUUGUUACCUUUCAGAAACUUUCUCCAUAUGCAUGCUAAUUAAAUGCGAUUUACCUCAAUUUUAUUGUUUCUAUUUUAUGCUUUAAUUCAUGGGGUGAGAGGUUUUUUCUUCUUAAAACACCCAUGAACUAAUGGAUAGGUUCUCAAGAGUGGCUCACUAAGAAUCUUGUUUCAUCACAUAGAUAGGCAUCACCAGAACUGGUUGGAAGAGGCAAUAAUUUCUCCUCAGAACUUUACCUGUAUACAAUGACAUAUUGAAACUUUUGUUUUAACUUUUAACUUCACCGAUGUUUGAUGCGAGUGUUUUAGCGAGCUACCAUUUUUCUGUAGAUUUCUGGAUAUGAACUUUGAUUCUGCAUCUCCUGUCUGGCAUUUCUCUUUGUCAGUCUGCAAUACUUCAUCAACACUGCACUUCUUGCUUUAAGGCCGCCCAGUCAUAACUGUCUUGCCACUUGAACUCUACUUGCAGCCAAGAAGGUGUCCCUGGUAGAUGCUGGUGUCGUGGGUGAUCUUACUGAUGGACUAGAUGAAAGGGAAAAUCUGGGUUUACAUCUUCGCAGUCACAAGCAACUGGCGGAGAUGACUUCUUCUCAGGCCUUGGGGGCCAACAAUACCAAUUUGGUAGUUUUUAACAAGUAAAUUCUGUUAAUUUGCCAUCAUGUCCGCAUAUUUUUUUGCCCAUUUGGUAAAAAUAGUUGAAGUGCUGAGCAUAUUGGCGUGCACAUGGUGAUGUGAUUCCGCCACCGGUUUUUACUAGAACACAAAGAUGUCUUUGUAAAGUCGUCCACCAUUUUGGGAGUGCUGUUCGUACGUAAUUAAGAGAUCCAAUUUUGUUGUUUUUUCA